rnacentral:lncRNA from 1 species
CUACGUGGGUCAAGAGUAAAGGAGCUGUGGCUUCCCCCCAAUCAGAAGGGCACUGGAUGAUGGAUGAACUCUGUGUGGUGCGUCUUCACACUGACACCAGGAGGAUAAGGAAGUGACUCCCUCAGCUGAGUGGCUGGCAUGUGCCAGGCUAGAGCAGCUUGGCUAUGGCAGAACAUCCAGCCCCACCGUGUGGACGCUAGGUUGCCAGGCAGCUCCAGUUUGGUUCCCCUGGUCACCACCACCCCCAGCUUCCCAGGCCUGCUCUCCUUGCUGAGUGCUGCCUUCACCAAGUUUCCUCAAAAGGAGAAAAGAGAGUGCUCCUGGGGCCUCUCCUCCCUCCACAGAGGAAGCACCACCACAGCCUGAGGUUGUCCUGGCCCAGCUUGGAAGGGAAUGGAGGUAAGGAAGGGUGGAUCCCCCAGGAGAACAAUUCUGAAAGAACAAAGAAGUGAUGUUUAUUCCGAAGAAUCUGCAAGGAAACAAUUAUUUCUGAUUCACCUAC